CCUACGGGAGGCAGCAGUGAGGAAUAUUGGUCAAUGGCCGGAAGGCUGAACCAGCCAUGCCGCGUGAAGGUCAGUGCCCUAUGGGCGUUAAACUUCUUUUGUUCGGGAGCAAUAAUGGUCACGUGUGGCCAGACGAGAGUACCGUACGAAUAAGCAUCGGCUAACUCCGUGCCAGCAGCCGCGGUAAUACCGGGGAUGCAAGCGUUAUCCGGAAUUAAUGGGUUUAAAGGGUGCGUAAGCUGUGGAGUAAAUCAGCGGUGCAAUGCCCCCGGUAAAAGGGGUGAAGUGCCAUUGAUACUGUCGUUCUGGAAUGCGGAUGCCGUAGGAGGAAUGUGUGGUGUAGCGGUGAAAUGCAUAGAUAUCACACAGAACACCGAUUGCGAAGGCAUCUCACGAAUCCGCGAUUGACGCUGAUGCACGAAAGCGUGGGUAUCAAACAGGAUUAGAUACCCUGGUAGUC
rnacentral:rRNA from 1 species